CUGUAGAUAUGCGGCCUCGAUGGCUGUCAUCUGGGACGAGGAGGAAGCUUCUAGAACAACUGAAAGAACAUCUCCUUUGUGCUGGAGCUCUGAGAUGAGUGCAGAGUUUCUGGACCACAACUGAGAAGUUCCUUCACUCCAUUCAUGCCUUCUUCAUACCGUACUCAGUAUACUCACAGUAUGGUUUGUCAU